rnacentral:rRNA from 1 species
CAGCAGCCACGGGAAUACGUAGGGUGCGAGCGUUAAUCGGAAUUACUGGGCGUAAAGCGUGCGCAGGCGGUUUGUUAAGACAGAUGUGAAAUCCCCGGGCUUAACCUGGGAACUGCAUUUGUGACUGGCCGGCUAGAGUAUGGCAGAGGGAGGUGGAAUUCCACGUGUAGCAGUGAAAUGCGUAGAUAUGUGGAGGAACACCGAUGGCGAAGGCAGCCUCCCGGGCCAAUACUGACGCUCAUGCACGAAAGCGUGGGGAGCAAACAGGAUUAGAUACCCCCGUAGUCCCUGUCUCUUAUAC